UUUACCGGUUUCUCGUAAAUUAUUUAUCCCGGGAAAAGGGGGAUUUUGGCCGGUAAAUCCUGAUAAAUCUCAGUAACUGGGUUUCCGCCAUUCAAUCCUAGACCUGACCUCAAAGCUAUUGUAAAGUCUCCAUAUUUGUGGACCCUAUUUGAUUUGUUUUAUUCAAUUCGGUUUGGAAUGAGAACGGUAGCCCCUAUCUGCAAAAGCAGCGUGUCUGCGGAAAAGCUGAGUAUCUUGGCUAUUGAUCGGAGCUGUCAAAUCUUACUACCAUAUAUGGGCAUACAAAUAUAAGGGAAAGCCGAGCCGAUGACCUCAUUUCAAGAUGGCUGCAACCUACAUCCGGGUUAUCGUUGUGAAGCAUAAACGAAAUAAACACGGAAUAACUUGAUACACAACGAAAGCCGGGACUCCACAGAUCAUGAGGAUAUCUUAUUAGUCUGCCAUUAUUGAUCACCAGACUAUUAUUUUACACAACAUUUUCACCAAACAGAAAACAUUUUACAAGGCGCUCCUGACGACCCAGGCAGAGGUGAAGGUUGCAGAGGUCUACAUGGGUUCACGCCAGCUACUGCAGGAUGGUGCUCCACAACCCAGACAAAGAUGUACCAGCUGAUGGAUCAUCAUAGGUGACCCCAGUGGCCAUGGGAGGACCAAGACCAGACUCUACGCAUCAUGUUUGUUGCUUUCGUGGCCAGACUUCUCAUUGCAGCUGUUGUAUGGGCCCUGAGAGAAGUGGCCACAAUGCAACUGAAGUAUACAACACCAGCAUAGUUCCACGGUGGACUUAAAUAACACCCGCUCCAGCUCAAGCCAACUUAAGGCUCAGGACGGGUGUCCAGCAAACAAUAGCCGCCCCAUUUCUAGAAGACGCAGUAGGUCGAUGCUGAACUCUGGCAGUGUGGACAGUGUCAACGUGAUGAUUGUCCUCUUUGUACGGACAAAGAGUGUACUCCUGUGUAACUUUAAAUGAUUCCCUUAAAUGUUUUGCACCAUAAAGGGGAAAAAACUCAGUGGCUCAACGGAAGCCAUUUACAACGAUAAUGUACUGGUGUAAGAGAGCCUACAAUGCUUUAUAUUUUGCUUGGUUGAAGUUUUGCUUAGAUUAGGACAUAAUUGGCUUACAUUAUGAAUUAUUACUUACAUGCUUACUUGUAAUUUUGUAUUAGAUUGAAAAUAGUCUCAAAAGGGAGGAAUAUGAUUGGGAAGAUUACAAACUCUUAUGCACAUACGCUGUAUAAGCCUUAAACCUGUACAUUUCCACUUUUUGUUUCUUUCAUGUAAGAAGAAGCCAGUGUUUUUCCUCUCUUGUUUGAGAGUAACUUUGUCUUUGGCUAUGUGACUAAGGGCUGUCUGAGAGUGACCGGUUUCUGGUCCAUCCUGUUCUUUUCAUGUCUUUCAAGGGCACAGCUGUGUGGAGAUAUGAAGAGAACAAUUCUAACAGCAGAAAGGAGUAACAAAACUGCCGUUAUCACUUGUUUGUAUGCUAUGUUCCCAUCAUGAUCUCACACAUCUGCUAAACUGCCACGUAGACAAAGGUUAUAAAAGCUGAGACCCAACUCUUGUUCAUUGGGCCCUUAACACUGCAAUGUUGAGUGGAUUGUUCACUGCUCCAGAUUUUUAAUAAAAAGUUGUUGUUUGAAGAA